CGCCCUGCCCUGCCCUGCCCUGCCCUGCCCGGCCCGGCCCGGCCCCGCUCCCCGCCGCCCGCCGCCUGUUGAAGCCGGGCCGGGCCGGGCCGGGCUCGGCGGCUGCUGCCCGAGGGAGGCGGCGCCCCCGGCCCCGCAGCCAAUGGCGGCGGCAGCGGGGCCCGGCCCGGCAGAGCCCGCGGGGCGGGGCCGCCCGCCUCAAGAUGGAGGCGGCCCCCGGGGACAGGCACCGGCCCCGGCCUCGGGCAGGGGGGCGCCGAGGGCAGGGCGCUGGGUUUGUCCCUGAGGCUUCAAGGGUGAAGGGCGCAGGCACAGAAAUAAAAAAUCCCCCUGGGAGCGGGCUGAGCUCAGCGCUGCCGGGGUCUGGGCUCUGAGGUGGGAGCCGGGGUUGGCUUCCCACAGCUGCGCAUCGCUGAGCCUGAUGGCUGUGCCUCCCGGCUGGGGGCCCAGCCUACCUUCCUCCCCCAGGGGACCUGCCUGCGCUGGGAUUUAAUUCAUUAACAGCUGUGAAAUGCUGCAGGCUGCCGAGCUGGGAAGUAGCACGGAUUCUGCUCGCUCCUGCGUCUUGCUGAGCAGCGCGGGGGAGGAAUGGGGUCUGGCUUGUCCGUGCUGUGUGGCUGGAGGCCCAGCAGCAAAGCACGAGGUUAAGCUGAAGAAUGAAGCAGAUGUGGAAGACCUAAGGCUCUGCAAAGCGAUCGGUCAGGUAAAGGUCGAAUCCGUAUCUGAAAUGCAACACACAGCCAACAGAGUGCGGGAAACCCCAGGGGGCCUGGGCUAAAAUCACACUUGGAGGAGAACAGCACAGCCUCAGGGUGAGCUAACCGUGGUAUCACCAGCUCUAGUCCGUCCUGUUCGCAUCCCUCCUUGCUGGCCAGACACUGGUAUUCAUUUGGCCUCAGGAGCGAAGGCCAAGCCUGCAGGUGUGGGCAGCCUCAGGCACAGCAUUACGGGGGCUCUCAUGUCCCCAGCAUGUCCUCACCCCUACCCCGGGGUGAGGACACCCAUGCCCGCAGGCUGGGCAGCCCUGCCUGCAGAGCACGGUGCCCCAGGGAUGGGUUGGAGCAAGGGGAGGUGGUUCCCAGCAGCAGGUUUUGCCUUGGCUCCGGCAGCAGGGGCACAGCGAGGCACUGCCAGUGAGGGGGACGUGGUGCUCGGUUGUGAAAGCACAAGCUUUCGAGUGUUUUGGUUUCUUCUGCUGAAAACUGUGAGUGUUUACGUGCGUUCUAUCGUAGCAGAUAAAGUUCUUGUCUGACUCAAGCUGCCACCCGCUCCCAGGCAUCGUGCUGCUUGUCUUGGGGCUUCCUGCAGUCAGAGACGAGGGGAGGGCCCCGUGGGGCUCCCUUCCUGAUGCUGUCCCCACAGUCACAGGGAACGGUGGCCUUGUGUCCCCUGCAGCCGCCUAGGUCCUGUCCUGCUGUCCCCAUCUCCCUGCUUUCCAGUCCCCCAGCUGUGUGUGGGGGUCGCCUCAAGCUCCCUGGCUCUGAAGUCUGUGGGUUAGCAACCUGUGCGAUUCCCCCAGGCAGGCUUGGGAAGCCUCUGGGACCUUUCUUUGGCAGUGCUGGAGCUGCCCAUGAGCCACCUCUGAGCUUUGGGAAGCUCCUCUGAAGCCUGCCAGCCCUUCCCCUCCCCUGCUGCCCUUAGGAAACGCGUGCGCUCCUGCAGAGCUAAAAUUAGCCAGCCAGCUGUGUGGCACGCUUGCACAAGAGCUUCAGUCCCCAGGCAGGGGAUCCAGGUCUGCCAAGGAGGCAACAUCCUAUAUAGGCUAACGGGGCCAGCACAGGCCACCGUAGGGAGGAGGGAGGCUUCCCCAUUUCUCUGCUGCCCAAGCCUGCAACAGGACCAAAGCACCAAGGAGCCGACAGAAGGGAGAGGGCGUCUUCUCCAGAUAAACCUGGCAAAGGCUACCCAGGAGUGGCGCUGCCCCACUGCCCCUUCACACACCUUUCCUUGCCAGCCCCCUCCCCAGCGCUUCCCUGAAGCUCUGCUCUCCCUUGCAUGGACGGGAGCCCCCCGAGGGCAUCAGUGCCAGGGAGCGACAGAGGAGCUGCAGCCUGCCCCUCGCACAGCACCUCAGCGAUGCCUUUUGCUCCCACUCCCCAGCACGGUGCUGAUACAGAGGCGUCUGAAAAGCGGCUGUGGGAAGCACCGCAGCUGCAGAGGGAACAGGCCAUUUUUAGCAGCUCAGCCCCCCCGCUGCAGGGUUGCAGGCAGAGCUGCGCGGGGACGUGCUCCUGCCUCAGCUGGCGCAGCGCGGCAGCCCCCAGCCCCAGCAGCACAGGUUCUGCCAGGCAGAGAGCUUGGCCCUGCCAGCACCAAGCCUGUAGGCUGCAGGAGCUGCUCACUGCCCCGUCUCACACUGGUUGAGACCCGACAAGACAAUGCGGUGGCGCGUGCUUAAGUACUUUUGGGGUGGAAGUUUAGCACAGGUGCCGCAGCGCCUGCACUGCGGAUACCCCACUGUGGGGUGCCGGGGGCUUCAGGAGGGGCCCACAGAGUUUGGAUGCUCCUGGACAGCACAGUACCAGGGGGAACAGAUGCUCCAGGUCCUGAUUUUGGACAUUUCUCUUCCAUUUUGGGUGCUUAAAGUCUUUUCUGGAGCCGGGUUUAAAAUUAGGGAAGAAUUCUUUCUGAGUGACUGUUUUUAGUGGAGAAGCGUGGGCUGGGAGGGAGGACAGCCCUAUUGAGAGCUGCUGGUAACCCCUUAAUGAUGGGGCGAACGGCACAGCCAGGAAUAGACCCACAAAGGCUGAAAACAGAGCUCAGCUUUUCACCCCACGUUGCGUUUUUUUGUAAGCCACCUCCCACAGGAGUGGCUCCGGCACCCUGUGGGAACCCAUUUCCCACAUCCCGAGUGUUUUCCGACUGCAGCGCUUCACCGAAGGUUUCUGCCCUGCGGGACCCACGGGGCACAGCACUAUUCCCAGGGCCCACGACGGAGCCGCCAGCUCAGCCAGCGGGAGCACCAGGCCCCGGUGAGCCCUCGCUCAGCUCGGAGCCAGUGCCGAAGCCAUUUCCCCGGCUCGUGCAUCAGCCUCAAGGUCAGGCCGUCCCCGCCGGCAGCGGAGCCGCGCUGCAGCCAGCAGGCGACUCCUCCCUUACGCACGCAGCAGCUGAGCCGUGCUGCUCCUGCCUUAGCCGGGAGGCUUGAGAAAUGGCCACGAGGAACAAGAAGCCAUCGGUGUGGGGGCACAAGGUGGGAACCCCCGCGGCCACAUCUCAGCAACCCGCGGAGCCGGCAUGGACCGCGGUGGCCAGAGGAGCCGGCUCGAGGCGGAGAGUCCCAGCGCUGCCUCCUUCCCUGCCUCCCUCGCCCAGGAAGGACUCAGACCCCGUUGGUGGCCAGGCACAGGCACUCCCCAAUGCACUGCCCCCUUCCCACCUCCGACCAGCACCCCAGGGUGCUCCAGGACCAUGGAGGUCAUCGCCACCCCUUCCCCCGCCCGUCCAGAGGCACCUCACAGCUCCUGUGGCUUUGGCCAGAGCUGUCCCUGUAAAUGGGAACCGGGUCAUGCAGGGAGGUGACAGGGCUGCCCCAGCCACAAGUGCAGGGUACUCCCAGCUCUGGGGUUUCAGCCACUGGCCCACCCUCGCCACUGCUGUGCCUGGCCCACAUCACCAGCAGUGGGGUUGGUGGCUGCACUCCCUGACCUCUGCAACGCAGGAGGAAAGCUGCAGGCCAAGGGAACAGCACUGAUCCUGCCUAUUCCAACAGCCUGACACAGGCAUGAGGACGGACACCUUAAUUGCAUCCCACAUGGCCAUCUACACGAUCUUACCCGAAGCUCUUGCCCUUGUUCUUGUGGCUUAGUUGGCCGGAGAGAGCAACCAAAUUACCUUGAGCAGCUCCUUGGGGAAGUCAGUGCCUCCGUUGAGCCCCUCCAAGUUGCCAAUGAAGUCGGAGCAGGACAUUCUCUUCCCGAUGUUCUGGGGGAGCCAGGGGAAGAGAAACGUGGGGUUCACCUCUGGGCCGGGGGGCUGGAGCUGGCUGGAGCAGGCUCCCACAGCCCAGGAACAGAAAACCCAGUCUGCUGCAGAGCGAGGGGCUGGCCAGGUCUCGGGGAGGUGUGGAAAGCCGCCUGCUGUGCUCAGACUCGGGGAGUGUUAGAAAGCUUCUUUUCUCUAAGCUCAGUGCCACCUGCUCCCAAUAUCAGCUGGGUUUGGAGUCGCGCUCCCAGCCUCUCUCCCUGUCUGCUUUCCUCUUCUCUCCUCCCUCCACACCCUCCAGCUCAGCCUGUCUCCCCCAAAGCCCCGUUAUCUCCUCGUUCAGGCCUUCCCCGCUCUCCUCCCAGCCACCUUGGGGGUGGCUCAGCCCCUGCACCUCCUGCGCACGCGGCUCUGCCCUUGGCAAGUCCUUGCUCUUCCCCGGCCACCCACGGCUGGGGCAGCGGGGGCGGUAAGGGCAGGGGACAGCUGGGGCUAAUGGCAGGGGGAACUUACGUGUCCGUGCAGAUCUGUGUUGAGCAGCAUCAGGGCACAGGUCAGGGUGUGGGCUCCGUCUGCAGCACAAGCACAGGGCAGGGAUUAGAGCCCCUGGGAAUGGACCGAGCCCGAAGCAGCCCUGAGCCCACUCCUCCCAGCCUGGGCACGUGGGGCACGCAGCAUCAGCAUGGUGCUGGCAGCACGCAGGCAAGUGGAUAGGAGGCCACUGGGUUAAAGCUAGUCUGAAACCUGUGCGUUCAGACGCCCCUCCAGCCCUCAGCCCCGUCAGCCAGGCAGUGACGCUGCAGCUACCAUUGCCCAGCUCCUGGCACAGGCACGGUGGGGAUGGCACAGCCCUCUUCCAGCCAGCCAGCCAAAAUCUCACCUGCCCACAGAGCCAAACCAGAGCAGAUUCAGCACGUGAGCACACACAGGGGGAGCGUAAAGACGCGGCACACUGAGGUGAUACGGUGCAGACUGGGUGCUCCUCUGUGCCGCACGGGGUUGUCUCACCUGGCCGUCCCCUGAGGUCUGAGAGCUGGGGUCUGUGUGCUGGGGAGGGCCUCCUCUCGCCUCCUGUGCUAAUCUGCUCAAGGGCAGAAUUAAGGAUGCGUUGAGCCCUAAUUAUGCAUCUUCCAACUAGAGCAGUAUUUUUUUUUAAGUCUAAAGUGCCUGUCACUUGAGGGGAAUGACAACAUCUCCGUAACAGGGGCUGACUCCCGAGGCGUCAGUUCACGCUCUCAGACUGCUUCCUAGUUGCAGUCGGAGCACCUUCGCUGAGCUGACGAACACAUGUGCUCUCCCGAGCGAACACAUGCACACCCACACGCACACUCAUACACACACAGACAGCCGCUUACCCUCCGAGGAGAUGGCAUUGGGAUUGCACUCGUAAUAGCGCUGGGAAAAAUGAGCCAGCACUCGCUCCCGCUCCUGCGUCUCUCCCAUCAAGGCCAGCUCCUUCAGAAAGGACCUGAAGAAGCAGCAGCAGCAGCGUUGGCCACAGGUGAAGCCCACCAGCAGCUCCUCUAACUCACCCUUUGCUUUCUGCCCCCUCCUGGAGACCUGGCGUGUGCCAGAUGAAGCCCUGCCCUCACACAGCCUUCCCAGACAGCUGCAGGACCGCUUUGAAGCCCGCAGCACCUUAUCCUGCCAGCACUGGGCCCUAAAAACUACCCUGGGGGACGCACUCAGGUGGCCACGACACAUGCACACGUCCACACGCAGUCCGCCUGACCUGAGAGCCUGGUCCAGACUCAUCCCCGUGAACACGAAGAACUUGAGGUGGCGGGCCACAUCUGCUUUUUUGAAGCCAUCCAGGUUGUAGAGCCUCUUGGCCAGGCGUUUGGCAGCCUCCAGGUCAGCCUUGUGCCCGUUGGAGAGGGUGUCUGUGCUGCCCAGGGCCAGCUGCUCCAUGCUGUCCAUCUCCGAGUCCGAGUCAGAAACCAGCUGGCUCAGGGGGUGGUCGCUGCAAUGGAAAGGGACACGCCGCGUUAGUCUGCCCACAGGUCCUCUGCUCCUCCAGCUUCUCAGCAAACACGUCCUCACCCUGCUUUGGAGGUCAGCCACUCUGCCGGGCUGCGUUAUGCACACUACUGCUUAGAGGUGCUCACAGGUCGGGGCUGGGUGCUAAGGGAAGGCUGGAGACGUGGCUGGAAGAGAGACGAGGUGACAGGGUGCUUCUGGUGGCUGAUGACGGGACCAAGUCACUCAAAGCCACGUCCAAAGUGGAUGUGGGGAGACAGGACAACUGCUCCAGAGUCCCCACCCUGAGCCUGCGAGACGUCGUGUGUGGGCUCCGGCUCUGCCAAGCCCAGCUGCUGCCGAGACUUGGAGCAGAAACAUGUGCACGCUGCAUGCUGUACUCUACAGACACCGUCAUUUUUUAACCUGAACAAACUCCUCGUGCUGCUCUCGAGUGCAGUUCCUACCCAAGAGAAGAAGACCAUAAUUCUUGCACUUGGCUUCUCUCACCCGGUAACUUCAGAGCACAGCAAAAACCGAGGAACAGAGCGCGAGGAUGAAGGCAAACACCGCCGGCCCCGGCUCGCGGCACUGUGUGCUGCCUCCCCCGGGCUGCCCCGCAGCUCUCGCCCCGUCAGGCCUUACAAGGCUGUGCUUCCAGCACUCUCUUGGCUUCGCCUGCGGAGCUGUCUGACUCAGCGGCACACAAGCGAUCCCAACAAAAAGUAAGUUGAAGCUAAUCAACAACGAAUGUUAAGCAACUCUGACCUCGCCCAAAUUUUCUGGCAGGCCUCGCAAUGUUCCAGUCUGAUUUAUUUUUAAAAGUCUCUAAUUGACUUUUAAGAAGGCCUCCUCUCCUGAGCCAAUUACCCAGGCUGGUCUCCCUGAGGCUCCACUUCUUCCACUAAGGACAAAGCUGCUCUUUGCUGCUCGGCGCUGGCCGACAGCUUUUGGAUGGAGCUCGUCCCGUCCCGGGGGAGCCCCGCACAGCACGGACAGGCUGCCCUGUGCCUUGGGGGGCUCUCAACGUCCCCUGUGCAACUGGGAAGCCCAAAAGCACGCAACCAUGGGCCAGACAGGUCCAGAGCUGCUUAGCUCUGGAGCCCUGCAAGUCCUGGGGGAGAUGCACUUGACUGGGACUGCUGUGGAGCUUGGAAACACCAGGCAGUGACUGCGGUACGGCCCGGGUGGGUGGCCCCUAAGUGGCUGCAAGGUCCCUGGUGGCAAGGAGCUCACCAGCCCUGGGGCAUGUCUCACCGAGCAGGAGGCUUCUGUACCCACAGCACACCCGGCUGGUUCGUGGUGCCUCCUGCAGCAAACCCGGAGCUCCAAGUUUCCUCCAUGACCUCUCUUCCAGAGCUGUGCUCCUCACCUUCCUACCCGCUGCUGAGCACCCAGGCACAGGGCCAUCUACAAACUCCUGUCCUUCAACAGCUAUCUCACGGCAGGCUCCCAGCCUGUGGCUGUGACUCUUGCCUUGCUUCUUGAAACAGACACGCAGGGCUCACAGCCUGUUUGUUACAGCAGCUCUGCCAGCGGGGUCUGCCAUCCCCUCCCUCACCGGGCCCCAGCUCUGACUUUGGGCUCUGUAUCAGCAGAGCAUACCCAUACAGUCAGGAUGAGGCACCAUGCUGUACAAGAGACCCCAGCCUCCAGGCCACGCCAAGAAAUGGGUUUUCACCCAACACUUUUCCUACGGCGAGAAGAGCAAGAGCCCGAUCCUCAAGCAAACGGCGAACACAGCAAAGAGCACAUGUCCACAUCUGAGGCAACUGAGGUGAUGCUAAUUUUCUUGCCAAUGACCUAAUGUCUCGGGAUUUUUUUAGUGUGCUUUCUGAAGUGACAUUUCAGUUUGGCUUGAAGAAACACUGAGAUAAUAUUUUUACAUUAGAUGUAUUUCCAACCCAAGAACUGGCCUGCACUUAAGGAACAAAGAUCAAAUUUGGUAUUGUACGAGCAUCUCCAGCGUGCCUGAAAUGAGUCAUCCCGGAGCGGCGCGGAGCUGGCUCGUCCCCGCCACGCUGCCCGCGGUGGCACGGCCACGGCCACCCCCACGGCGCCACUCCCCACGGCGGGCGCCAGCCUGGUGUGACCCAGCCAGAUGGCAGAGACCCCACAUCUGCCACACUUGGAGGUGUUUGCCAGGAGGUCCGGACCCCCAGGGAAGCAGCAAGGUGCUUCUGCAGACACUCUCUGAUGACAAGGAUCCCUCCCCAGGGCCAGGCAGUCCUUCUGCGGGGUCCACGCACUCCGUUUCAUGGCCCCAAAUACUCCUUCCCUUGGCUAAAGCAUUUCUUCUCUGACCCCCAAAUAUUCCAGCUCCAGACCCCAAUUACUCUUUUUCUAGUCACACCUUUUCUUGUCCCAAAGACUUCUUUGCCUUGGCAACAGGCACGCUUCUCUGAGCCCAAAUCCUCCUUCCCAGGGCCACAUCCUCCCUCCCUGGCUUCAGAUCCUCUUCCUCUGGGCUCAACACUUGCUUCUCAAGGCCAAACGCCCACCCCCUGGACCCGGAUGCUCUGUGUCUCGCCCUGAUAUUCAUCCUCUGGCUGGCAGCCCGGAGGCCAGCAGGAGACCAGCACCUUCCUGCGCUGCAAUGCAGCGUGCCACUGCAGGAGCCCCGCUGUCCUCUCCACGAGGCUCACCCAGCACCAUGCUCUCCCCACAGCCUCCAGGAGCUUCUCUCCCCGCCGUGGGGCAGCACCAGGCCGUUAGCUCAGCACAGACUGCCCGAGGGGCUGCCCUCCAGCUCCUCGCUGCCAGCAGGGAUGUAUCUGCACGGCGGGACCCCCCUCACCCAUGUCUGCUCCCCAGGACCAGAUGUCCCUGGGGACAGGCUCAGACAAGCGGACAUUGGUAUCAGCCUGUGGUGCUCUGCUGAGCUCCCAGGCUAUCCAGGUCCUUGCUGGCAUGUUUCCACAUGAGACACCUGCUGCAGGAAAUUCAGAAAUGCCUACUGCGAGCCACUUGUUCCCCAAAACAGGCCAUGGGGGGCUCGGUUUGCUUUCUGCACCACGAAGGGACAGGGCAGGGAGCCCGGUCUGAGUCGGCGAGGGCCACGUGCGUGGGGCAGGCCAGCACCCUGCCCUCAAUUCCCACUGCCCCACACGCAUGGCUAGGAGCCCGGCGCCUCUGCCAAGCAAUCCCAGCCUGCCUAAUAUCGCUGCUAAGAAUGUACCAGACCGGAUCCUUGGCUGAGCUAAAUAAAUGCAGCUCCCUCCA